rnacentral:lncRNA from 1 species
CAGUUGUGCAAAGAUUGUGCCCUUCUGAACGUGGCUGCCUGCCUUCCUUAUUCCUUAAAGGGGCAGAACUGAUGUACUAGAGGACGAGACAUGGAGGAAGAAGUCAUGACUCAGUCAAAUGCAGAGGACUGCAAGAGAUCUGUCCACACACGAGAGACUCGAAGAAUCCAGCUGAGGGCCUGGAUCCCACAGCAAUGUCCCACACAAGUCCAGCUGAAGGCCUAGAGCCCAUGGCAAUGUCUCAUGCAAGUCCGUAUCAAGGAUCUGCUUUGGGAAGGCCCAAAGGCCAGUGGUAGAAGCUAGAAAGCCAGUGCUGGAGGGGUGAAGGAUCUGUGCCAUCAGGCUGAGGGAUCUUCCCUGGAGCCAGGAAUGGAAGUGUGAUGCUUAAAGUGAAGGCCAGAGCUUCCCUGAGGAGAACAGCAGCCAUUCCCAGCGACAGCAAGGACCUGAACUCCUCCUCCGAUGAGUACAGCCAAGUUCACAUCAGGAAAACCAGCCACAGCAAGCCUCCCCAGGAAAAUCAUCAGCAUACAAUCUUCUCUAGUUCUUUUUAUGUCAUUGGCAACAGUCCUCAGGUGGGUUUUCCAUGCCUGGAACUACGCUGAAUCCAUAAUCCACCACAGUGUCCCUUUCCUUUGCUGACCCCCCAGGGUCCCUGCUGUGUUGUGGCCAAAGUUAGGACUAUCUGCUUGGCUAAGCAAGGCUCUAGGCAUGUGGGUGAUCUGGGCCUUUGAUAGCAGAGGUGUGCUAAUGUGGUGUCUUAGUUACUUUUCUUGUUGUUGAGACAAAAUACCUGACACCCAAAGUUAAAGGAGGAAAGAUUUAUUUUGGGUCACAGUUUGUAGAGGUUUUAGCCCAUGAUUGGCUGGCUUCAAGGAAGGGUAGCACAGCAGAGGGGCAUGGCAGAGGAGAAACAGUUCAUGGUGGGCAAAAGGCAGGAAAGCAGAAGGCAGCAAACAGUGAAGUAGUGAAGCAGCAAGUGACAACAGCUGCCUUCUUUCUGUCCCUUAUAGUCUAUCCAGGCAACAUAUCCUUAGUGUGGGUGGCACUCACACCCAGGGUGGGCCUUCCCAUUAUCCAUACCCAGAACUAUGGGAAACCAAUUGUGGACUAAUUUAGUGAUCACACACCCUUGAUCCCAUCAUCACAUACUUAAUCCCAGCAUCACACACUCUAGAUACAGCCACCUCUGAAAAGCCUCACCUGUGACUUCACGAGACUUUGGGGAAACAUCUACACAUAAGCCAUAACAGGUGGUACCAGUGUCAUAAAUGUGGCAGCACAAGACAUGGGACAAAUGCUGGUGUAGAAUUCCUGAGGGGGCAAAUGCUUAGGAAAAACAUGAGUUGCCUAUGGAUGAAAUGUCAACUGUUUCAUCUGGUCUUAAAGUUGUCCAGCCCCAGUUUUCCUUGUGCUCUUGGCAUUAUCCAUGUAGGCUGUCAGACUUCCUGGGCCUCUGGCCUAGCAGUCUCAUUCUUGUUCUCCCUCCUCAUUCACUUAGCACUUUCCCGAAGGCUCAACUCCCUCCUUUCACCUUUUUACAUCCUCUCUAUAGCUGUCUUGUCCUUCCUGGUUCCAGGGAACUUGUCCAUCCUCCCUGUGACCAUUAAUCCUCAUAUCUCAACUUCAUUGAAUUAAGAAAUGCUUAGCAGCCAGGUGUGGUGGUACAUGCCUGUAAUCCUAGAACUUGGGAGGCUGAGGCAGGAGGAUUGCUGCAAGUUUGAGGCCAGUCUGGGCUAUACAGUGGUUCAAGGUAAGCCUGAACUACAUGAGACCCUGUCUCAAAAAAAAAGUAGAGCACACUCGGGUAUGACUGAGUGGGUCAUGGAGGUCUGACUGUGGGUAUAAUACAUGGUUCUUCUUCCAUUCCUCUCUGCCACUAUUGUCCUGCUCUUUUACCCAGCUGCCAUGAACUGAGCAGCUUAGCCACCAUGCCUUGAACUAUGAUGUUCCUGCUUUGGAGCCAGCUGACAGUAGACUGAAUCCCCCUAAACCAUAUGCUAAUUUAAACUUUUCCUCUUUUAUUUUAUUUAUUUAUUUUUAUUUUGUUCCCCAUUAAGUUUAUUGGUACAUUUUAGGUAUAAAAUACAGUUACAUUCAUCAUUG